UACGAAGGGGGCUAGCGUUGUUCGGAAUUACUGGGCGUAAAGCGCACGUAGGCGGAUUGUUAAGUUAGGGGUGAAAUCCCGGGGCUCAACCCCGGAACUGCCUUUAAUACUGGCAAUCUCGAGUCCGAGAGAGGUGAGUGGAAUUCCGAGUGUAGAGGUGAAAUUCGUAGAUAUUCGGAAGAACACCAGUGGCGAAGGCGGCUCACUGGCCCGUUACCGACGCUCAGGCGCGACAGCGUGGGGAGCAAACAGG
rnacentral:rRNA from 1 species